rnacentral:rRNA from 1 species
ACUCCUACGGGAGGCAGCAGUGGGGAAUAUUGCACAAUGGGCGCAAGCCUGAUGCAGCCAUGCCGCGUGUUNAAGAAGGCCUUCGGGUUGUAAAGUACUUUCAGUCGUGAGGAAGGUGGUGUUGUUAAUAGCAGCAUCAUUUGACGUUAGCNNAGAAGAAGCACCGGCUAACUCCGUGCCAGCAGCCGCGGUAAUACGGAGGGUGCGAGCGUUAAUCGGAAUUACUGGGCGUAAAGCGCAUGCAGGCGGCCUUGUUAAGUCAGAUGUGAAAGCCCGGGGCUUAACCUCGGAAUUGCAUUUGAAACUGGCAGGCUAGAGUCUUGUAGAGGGGGGUAGAAUUUCAGGUGUAGCGGUGAAAUGCGUAGAGAUCUGAAGG